ACCUUGGCACCUGGCAGGACCAAAGGAGUCGUGCGAUACGGCUGAAAGAGCGAUUGAACAUGAAUGAAUGCCAGCGAAAGAAGAGUUAGAUGAAUGAGAGAGUAGGAGGAACUAUGAGACAAUAUCCUGCCGAAGCGGUGCCAAUUAGUUAACGAGAUUUAAAAUAAACCGUAAUAGAGGCCAUGGCUAUCGAAAGAUGGUUCGUUAAUCCCUGGCGCUCUUUAUGUCGUCAUAAUUUCAUGCAACGACAAGAAUAAAUCGAUGAUGAUGAUAUUGUAACCUAAUUUGAUAUUGAUAUCGAUCUCGUUUCGUAAUAUCAUUAGGUAUUCUCUCGGCUAAAAAUGGUACGUUAAUUAGUUGAUUAAAUAAUAGUCAUCUGAAAAAUAUUGUCUAUAUUAUAAUAUUAAUAAAAACCUGCAGCCUUUUUAUAUGACAAAAUCUGACUAAAUUUAUGUUUUCAGGGCGAGAAGAAAGGAUUUCUAUCCAAGAACUUGUAUUCAAAUUAUGCGAUCAGUUUCUAUUUUUUUGAAAGAAUUGUAAGGGACUGUACCGGAAGUGAUACCGUCCAAAAAAGUUAUAAUUCCGCCCAGCUGGCUCACAAUGCGGAACUUACAUAAAGCGACAAUCAUGUUCACAUUACGAACGAAUUUGCCUUGGCAAGUUACGGAUCGUUACGUCAUAUGCCGUCACUUUUGCGGAAAAUUACGAAAUUACGCGAUUCUACAGAUAUAUCAUGCAUAAUUGAUUCGUCAUGCGAAUUUCCUAUGUUUAAGUUGCCGAAACAUUUGCGAAAACAAACACAUCGCAAGACAUGAGGUAAGCUCUCUCUAAUAUUCCGUCAUCGCGCAAUUAUCAUAGAUAUUUUGGUGAUUUUGCGUGUUGAAAUCAAACUUGAAAAAAAAAAAUGCGAGGCACAAUUUUCGCAACAUUUGAGAAAAACUGCAAAUAAAACCUUCCGCGAAAUUCUCUCAUAUUACUUCUCGCGUAAACGCCUCGCUAAAAUAGCCACUUUUCGAAGGGCAGCUUGACAUUUCAUUCGUGACGACGUUGUUGGCCUCGAAAUUAUUACGCAUUGAAGUUUGCGAAGCAAAAUAGAAAAACACUAAAUACAUUGACAUCAUGUGUCUAUGACAAAAUUUUCUCGCAUUUUUUCUUUUACAAAAUCUUAAUUCUUGAGUCAAAUGUAAAAAAAUUUCUCCUGUGGAGAAAUUCGCUACUUUUUAACGGAUAUAAAUUAUUGUCCGACCAUUGCCAUUCGCCGGCACGCCGCUAUGAUUUACAAUUUUAGAACCGCGGUCUCGGUCGCGGCAAGUUCGCGCGCGAGUUUCGCGUUUCUCAUCCGCAGCGUGAAAUCGCGCGAUUACGAUGAUUCCAUUAUAAAUGGGUCAGAAACGUCAUUAUGUUAGAGGGUGAGCUGCGAGUGAUUCUCUCGAAAUAGAUGAAGGCCCGGCCGGCAAAAAUAACGCGCACUCCGAACCGCGUACAGAAUCGACUGUUCUCUCGCGUCUUUCGUCCGUUUUCUUUUCGUUUGCGAUCUUUUCACUAGGAAGUGUCUCGUCCGCGGGACGGGAAACGCCUCUUGUUGAAACGUUUACAAGGUCGCAUAGCGACUGAGAAGGGAGCAAUAGCAAGGGCAAGAUCGUAAAAUCGAAAGAUCAUUUUCUUCUUCCAAUGACAUGUACCUGUAUUUUGAAUUGAAAGAAUUGAAUCUUGAAAAAAUCAUUUGAUCCAAAGAAAGUAAUUAACGUGUAGAAAUAUUUCAUCAUCUCGCCUCCGAAAUUGUCAGUUAUCGUAAAAAAAUAUGAUUUUUUAAAUGCAAUUUUUUGUAAUUUAAAAUAUGAAACAAUAAAAAUAUUUGCAGCGAUUAAUAUUUCUAGAUUAAAUUGGCUUUCGUCCAAAAGUAAUAGAACAAUAAUUGUUAACGCGCUAAUUUUAAUUGAUUGGAUUAUCAAGCUCGAUUGAAAUCUUUAUUUAAAGAUCUAUGAUUUUUUUUCCUUUUCUUUUUUAGAACAUUUUCACGAGAGUCACACUCGUUUGUACGUCGUUUUGUAAAAGGUCUCUCGAACUAAAUUCAGACGGAGCAAAACAGCUGUUUCGCAGAGUGUUUAUUGCUUGGCGACGGUGUCGAGAUGAAACUUGAACUCUUUGGAAAUUGAUUGGAACAUGUUGGCAAAAGGUAACGAAUAAAUAUUUUUACUUCAUUAACCACACAAUAUGCAAACAUAAAAUUAUGAUAAAAUUAAUUCCGUAAUCAAAAAAAAAGAAUCGAAAGUGAAUUCAAAAUAAUUAUAUCGCCGGUUAGUUUCUCCCAAGCGUUAUUCGACGAACAGAAUCAAGAAAAUGUCCUUAAUUCUGGCACGCGCUAAUCAGCUGUUAAUUGAACAACGUCUUUCUGAUCCUGCGAACAUUUUUCGAUUUUUACUCGGAUAGGAGAAUUCAAAAAACACAGAACGUGGGUGUAUUUUUAUAUGACGGCCGCUCAUGUUUCUGAGUAACCCAGAUCCCGUUCACGAAAAUAGAAUACGAUACUGAUGAACGGCAUCUGCAAUGCCCACGAUUGCGUUUCAUUGCAUCGUUAUUAAUGCGAAUUGCGUUCGCGCGAUUUUGCCUUUCAUCUCGACGACUGCAGCUGUUAUCCCGUGAAAACUAUCGCACCCUCCUUGGGAUUUCCAGAGAAGAAAACGCGAAAUUAAUUAAGCUCUUCUCGAAUGACCAAAUGCAAUCACGCUUGCAUACCGUGUGAAAGUUAAGCGACGCGAAAUCUAGAUCGCUCGGUAAUCUUAUUAUUCGAUGUUGUUAUUCGAUAUUGACGCGUCGGAGCUAAACUCGUGUGUCGUUAUUGAGUUUUGGUAUUUUUAGGGUGACCCGGCGACAUAGUUAGACUCGUGCGUUAUGGUUGUUACAUCCUAGCGUGCCCACGCAUAAAUGCCAUUCAGGCGAAAAACAAAAAAAGUUUUGUAGAACUAUUAAACAUAAUUUGAAAAUUUAUCUUUACAUCUUAAAGACGGAUUGGAAGAUAAAUCUCCUUAUAGCUUUUCUUACAAUAUAAAUCGAUUUUCAGAAAACAUCAGAUGAUCAACGCUUCGGAGAUUAAUUAAAACAUUUCUAAAGGACAUUUUUAAAAACCGUCUCGAAGCCACAAAAAUAGAAGUCCGAAAAUGCAAUAUGACUUAGCUCCGAUCUACUGACAUUCUCGUGUCGGAAAAAUUUCCCAUGGGAUCGAAAAAUUUGACAUAUCCUUCAGGCACCGCCACGAUAGUUCCAACAUAUUAUUUUAUCUGAAAUGAAGAAGGAGAAGGCGCUUGUUUACAUUAUAACUCUGGAUCGCAGCGAAUUAAAUUCACAGCAAAUAACGAGGUAAGUGUAUAGAAAACGUCCUGAAUCCGCGGGACGUAUCGGAUCGGUGCAGGCAGAGGUUUCGAUGCAAAAGCGAUAUUUAUAGCAUGUGGCCAACCGGUGGCGACGGACUUUCCGGCAUCGUGGCGGGCCAACAAAAAUAUAUUCACACUUCGGACUUCCCACGAAUAAAGGCACCUUCGUGCUUUCGCUAGCCGCAGCGACGCACGAUGCACCCUGCUGCCGCCGCCGUUGCAGCUGGCGGCGAGUGGUGCAAUAUGCGAUCGCGCAAUGAACACGAGGACACGCUUCUUUCCAAAGUCUUGUCGGUAUCGCUGUCGCAAAACGUACGGCAUUCUGUUAAAACGACGAGAGACAUCUAGAUGCGAAAUUGCGAUAUUGCAAAUCGUCGCUAUCGUCGUUAAAAUCGCUGAUGAAAAUGUGUUCGUUUUAUCUGCCUCUGUAAAUCAAUCAAAUUAUUAAUGAUGAAAACGUUAACUUUAAUUACAACCGUUAAAUGUCCUAAGCAAAAUCUACAAUAGAUUUCUCCAAUUAUUCAUUAUGAACAUUGUAUUCUUUUUUUUUUUAGUUAGAUCUCUGUAGAGCUUUGUUGACUUUGUGUGAAUUGCUUUUAUGCAGAGAAAACAUUUUCUUCGAAGAAAUUUUACUAAAUGAAGUUGUUGCUGUGUAGACUACACUUUUAACGAUUCACAUGUAAAGAUUUUUGUUUGUAUAUUAUCUUAUAAAUCGAUCUGUUUCUUGUAAAAUUUUUUAUGCGCACCAGUUAUAGAUUGUCAGGCGUGAUCAUUAUAUAUCGAACUAAAAUUUUGUCGGCUUAAAUAAAACGUUUCGGAAUAGGCGGAACGAAUUAAACGCGACAAAUGUCUUGUCACACUAUACCAGUAGCAUGAUCCGACAAUGAAUUAUUGGAUUUCAAAGUGCAAGAGGGUAUUUCGGAACAGGCUCGAGCGUGCCAGACGCCGCGAUCAUGCGGACUUGAGAAAUCAGAGUACACACGUUUCCUAUUACGACAAUUUACGCCUUUAAUAGAGCCGUAUCUAUAUUUAUUUUACAGCAUACCUUAAUGUACUUUUUCAAAUUUCAUUUCUCCACAAAACAAAGUUGCAUAUGUUGCGAGUUAGUUAUUAUAAAUAUUUUGAGGGAUGCAAUCUGGGCAUACUAUUCCUAUUUUAAUGCGUUUGAAUCUGAAUUGUUUACUUGCAAGAAGAAAGAGAAGAAAAAUAGGCGCAAAAACAAUUCUGUUAUGUUGACUUAUGCAAUUGUGCGCGAUUUUUGGCCACAUCCCACUAGAAAAUCCCCGUGAAGCAUCGGGAAGUAAAUAAAACGAAAAAUCACACCAGCUUAUGGCGCCAGUGACAAGUAUAAGAAAUUACGUCGAGACAGUUCUAUACUUAGUAUUUGCAUUUGACGUUUGCUUGCACAAUUUAGCACGAAGUUGUCAAUCAGAGCUAAACAACAUCGGCGCCGGUCGAUAUUGCAUGCAUUAUUUUUCCAACAUAUGAUUUUCCUUUUCUUAAUAAUUAUUCGAUUUAUUACUAAUUUAA